rnacentral:lncRNA from 1 species
UACAACUUUGCUAUUCUUCUUUGUAGAAAAUCAUUGGUGAUGACUGCCUGUCUACUGAGAACAGUUUAAGAACCAAUUUUGGUCUUUGCUUGUUUCAUACUGUGGUUAUAAUCUGCAUCUAAUAACACGGUUUGGCUGUCUGGAUGGAAGACUUACAAAGUCAGUGCAUCUGUUCUACCUGUUGGCUUAUCUUUGUGGAAGGCAAAUCAGGGAGAGGAGAGAAUACAGCUAGAUCAUCUUGGGAUCGGGCAAUUCCAAAAUGGAAUAACAUUGCUUACAGGAUUACUACAAGUCACUGUAUAUUAAAGUGUAUUCCAACUAUGUGUAUACCAGCUUACAUGGCACUGAGCUGUCACUUCUCCAGGUUCAGUGAUCGUCUCAUACCAGAGGAGGGAGAGGCAGGGAGAGCCUAA